rnacentral:rRNA from 1 species
UAGUCCACGCCGUAAACGAUGUAUGCUAGCUGUCAGGCAGUUUACUGUUUGGUGGCGCAGCUAACGCAAUAAGCAUUCCGCCUGGGGAGUACGGUCGCAAGAUUAAAACUCAAAGGAAUUGACGGGGACCCGCACAAGCGGUGGAGCAUGUGGUUUAAUUCGAGGCAACGCGAAGGACCUUACCAGCCCUUGACAUACUGGUCGCGGAUUUCAGAGAUGAUUUCCUUCAGCUUGGCUGGACCAUGUACAGGUGCUGCACGGCUGUCGUCAGCUCGUGUCGUGAGAUGUUGGGUUAAGUCCCGCAACGAGCGCAACCCUCAUCCUUAGUUGCUAACAUUUAGUUGAGAACUCUAAGGAGACUGCCGGUGAUAAACCGGAGGAAGGUGGGGAUGACGUCAAGUCUUCAUGGCCCUUAUGGGCUGGGCUACACACGUGCUACAAUGGCGAUGACAAAGGGCAGCGACUCCGCGAGGAGAAGCUAAUCUCUAAAAGUCGUCU